rnacentral:rRNA from 1 species
UACGUCGAGGUCGUCCCUUCGGGUAAAGUAGAGACAGGUGGUGCAUGGUUGUCGUCAGCUCGUGUCGUGAGAUGUUGGGUUAAGUCCCGCAACGAGCGCAACCCUUAUUGUUAGUUGCUACGCAAGAGCACUCUAGCGAGACUGCCGUUGACAAAACGGAGGAAGGUGGGGACGACGUCAAAUCAUCAUGCCCCUUAUGUCCUGGGCUACACACGUAAUACAAUGGCGGUCAACAGAGGGAUGCAAAGCCGUGAGGUGGAGCGAACCCCUAAAAGCCGUCUCAGUUCGGAUCGCAGGCUGCAACUCGCCUGCGUGAAGUCGGAAUCGCUAGUAAUCGCGGAUCAGAAUGCCGCGGUGAAUACGUUCCCGGGCCUUGUACACACCGCCCGUCACACCAUGAGAGUCGGGAACACCCGAAGUCCGUAGCCUAACAGCAAUGAGGGCGCGGCCGAAGGUGGGUUUGAUAAUUGGGGUGAAGUCGUAACAAGGUAGCCGUAUCGGAAGGUGCGGCUGGAUCACCUCCUUU